UAGCAAGUAUCGAGGGAAUAGAGAAAAAAGCCCCUUUUCUGAAGUCUGUUAUUGAAAUGUACAUUUCUUCCAUUACAGUGCCUUCUGACUUAGUUGCAAGUUUUCUUUGUUAGAAAUUACUAAUUGUUUCUUUAUUUAUUAUGCAGAAAAUUUAUCAAAUCUGUUAUCCAAGGUUUUCUUCCUGGCAUUGUGUUGAAGCUCUUCCUUAUCUUCCUGCCAACAAUAUUGAUGAUCAUGUCUAAAUUUG
rnacentral:lncRNA from 1 species